UACGGGGGGGGCAAGCGUUGUUCGGAUUUACUGGGCGUAAAGGGCUCGUAGGCGGCCAACUAAGUCAGACGUGAAAUCCCUCGGCUUAACCGGGGAACUGCGUCUGAUACUGGAUGGCUUGAGUUUGGGAGAGGGAUGCGGAAUUCCAGGUGUAGCGGUGAAAUGCGUAGAUAUCUGGAGGAACACCGGUGGCGAAGGCGGCUUCCUGGACCGACACUGACGCUGAGGCGCGAAAGCUAGGGGAGCAAACGGG
rnacentral:rRNA from 1 species